AUGGAGAUUAACUCCAAUUACUUAAGGAGUAACAAUACACCAAAGCUUUAUGCUAUCUACCUUUUAAAUCUGACUAUAAAUAUUUAUGUUUGGAAAAUCUUGAACUCGAAGUCAGAAGGUGCAAACAUGAACAUGAUUAAAAAGAUGUUGCAAGCUAACUUAAAUGUAAGAAUCAUUAAAUUCAUACCAAGAAACAUGUUUAAUUUAUUAAAUAAUUGA